ensembl:lncRNA
GUGAAGUACACUUUCAAUGGGAAAGGAGAAUACUGCCGGGUUGACUCCCCAGGCAGAGGGCUGAGAAUUCAGGGCCGGACAGAGUGGUACGGCAAAUGCUCGGCCUCCGGCCGCAAGGCACUUCAGUGGGGUAGUGCGUACGGCUCAGUACAUCACUGGGGCAAAGCUGCCUGCCAUCCAGGACCUCUACACCAGGCGGCGUCAGAGGAAGGCCCUGAAUUGUCAAAGACCCCAGCCACCCCAGUCAUAGACUGUUCUCUCUACUACCGCAUGGCAAGCGGUACCGGAGUGUCAAGUCUAGGUUUUUACCCCCAAGCCAUAAGACUCCUGAACAGGUACCUUAGCCAAGGCUAAUAGUCCAUCGGCUGUGACUAUGAGAGAGAAUACCUCUGUCAAAGAGGUGCACCAGGCAGAGCAGCAGGAUCAUCUGGAGGUGUUUAGGAACCAGCAAAUCCCCCCCCUUCACAGAACAGUGAUGAAUGGACCUACAUGGUGUUUUCUGUACUCUCCGACACCACAGAACAUGACCGUCAUGUUCUCUUCAGGGGUGGAGGUAGGUGCGGGGGCGAGAGGGGCCACCAUGGCCCUUACCGUGCUGCUCCCCCAGACUACACCAACCUCACCAACCUCAGAUUACGUCUGAC